AUUGAACGCUGGCGGCAGGCCUAACACAUGCAAGUCGAGCGAUCGUCGGAAACUUGAGAAAUGUCUGUGAAACUACCUGAUGGCGGGGGAUAAAUACUGUAAACGGUAGCUACUACCCCAUCCCCUCAGAUCUUCCCCGAUGGGAUUAGCUCGUAUUUGGGGUAACGGCUCACCUAGGCGACGAUCCCUAGCUGUUCUGAGAUGAUGACCAGCAACACUGGAACUGGGACACGGUCGAGACUCAUACGGGAGGAAGCAGUGGGGAAUAUUGGACAAUGGGCGCAAUCAGGAUGCAGCAAUGCCGCGUGUGUGAAGAAGGCCUUAGGGUUGUAAAGUACUUUAAGCGGGGAGGCGUUACCCGCAGAAGAAGCACCGGCUAACUCCGGGCCAGCAGCCGCGGUAAUAC
rnacentral:rRNA from 1 species